CGUAGGGUGCAAGCGUUGUCCGGAAUUAUUGGGCGUAAAGAGCUCGUAGGCGGUCUGUUACGUCGGCUGUGAAAACCUAGGGCUCAACUCUGGGCUUGCAGCCGAUACGGGCAGACUAGAAUUCGGUAGGGGAGACUGGAAUUCCUGGUGUAGCGGUGAAAUGCGCAGAUAUCAGGAGGAACACCGGUGGCGAAGGCGGGUCUCUGGGCCGAUAUUGACGCUGAGGAGCGAAAGCGUGGGGAGCGAACAGGAUUAGAUACCCUGGUAGUCCACGCCGUAAACGUUGGGAACUAGGUGUGGGCUCCAUUCCACGGAGUCUGUGCCGCAGCUAACGCAUUAAGUUCCCCGCCUGGGGAGUACGGCCGCAAGGCUA
rnacentral:rRNA from 1 species